GUACACGCUGUGACUAGCAUAUCAAUAAGCGGAGGAAAAGAAACUAACAAGGAUUCCCUCAGUAACGGCGAGUGAAGCGGGAAGAGCUCAAAUUUGAAAUCUUGAAAGGUCACCUUUCACGAAUUGUAGUUUAAAGAAGUGUUUUCUGUUACGAUCGUAAUAUAAGUUCUUUGGAAUAGGACAUCACUAGAGGGUGAGAAUCCCGUCUAUGAUUGCGAUUUGUAGCUUUGUGAUACACUUUCAAAGAGUCGGGUUGUUUGGGAAUGCAGCCCAAAACGGGAGGUAAAUUUCUUCUAAGGCUAAAUAUUGGCGAGAGACCGAUAGCGAACAAGUACCGUGAGGGAAAGAUGAAAAGAACUUUGAAAAGAGAGUUAAAUAGUACGUGAAAUUGUCAAAAGGGAAGCGUUUAACACCAGUGUUGUUUUCUGAAAAUCAACCUCUGUUAGCUUUAUGCAUGUUUGUUUAGACCUAAUCAGCUAUCUUGCAUGUUCUAUUGUUUGCAGUGGUGCACUUUUCAGUUUACAGGUCAACAUCAGUUUUUUUUACCGUAAAAAAGUUAAAGAAAGGUAGCUCAUGGCUCCGGUCGUGAGUGUUAUAGUCUUUUUCCUAUGCGGUAGGAGAGACUGAGGUCUGCAGUGUAGGCUAUUUGGCUAGAUACUCAGGUGCUAUGUGAUACCAUUUCAUAAACAACUUGUUGAUUAUGUUUUGUCUAUUGCAUACUCGCUUGUACUAUCAUACCUACGCUUAGGAUGUUGAGUAGCGACAUACGCAC
rnacentral:rRNA from 1 species